rnacentral:rRNA from 1 species
GAUGAACGCUGGCGGCGUGCCUAAUACAUGCAAGUCGAGCGAACAGACGAGGAGCUUGCUCCCCUGACGUUAGCGGCGGACGGGUGAGUAACACGUGGAUAACCUACCUAUAAUACUGGGAUAACUUCGGGAAGCCGGAGCUAAUACCGGAUAAUAUAUUGAACCGCAUGGUUCAAUAGUGAAAGACGGUUUUGCUGUCACUUAUAGAUGGAUCCGCGCCGCAUUAGCUAGUUGGUAAGGUAACGGCUUACCAAGGCAACGAUGCGUAGCCGACCUGAGAGGGUGAUCGGCCACACUGGAACUGAGACACGGUCCAGACUCCUACGGGAGGCAGCAGUAGGGAAUAUUCCGCAAUGGGCGAAAGCCUGACGGAGCAACGCCGCGUGAGUGAUGAAGGUCUUCGGAUCGUAAAACUCUGUUAUUAGGAAAGAACAAAUGUGUAAGUAACUAUGCACGUCUUGACGGUACCUAAUCAGAAAGCCACGGCUAACUACGUG